UGGGGAAUAUUGCACAAUGGGCGCAAGCCUGAUGCAGCCAUGCCGCGUGUAUGAAGAAGGCCUUCGGGUUGUAAAGUACUUUCAGCGGGGAGGAAGGGAGUAAAGUUAAUACCUUUACUCAUUGACGUUACCCGCAGAAGAAGCACCGGCUAACUCCGUGCCAGCAGCCGCGGUAAUACGGAGGGUGCAAGCGUUAUUCGGAAUUACUGGGCGUAAAGCGCACGCAGGCGGUUUGUUAAGCCAGAUGUGAAAUCCCCGGGCUCAACCUGGGAACUGCAUCUGAUACUGGCAAGCUUGGGUCUCGUAGAGGGGGGUAGAAUUCCAGGUGUAGCGGUGAAAUGCGUAGAGAUCUGGAGGAAUACCGGUGGCGAAGGCGGCCCCCUGGACGAAGACUGACGCUCAGGUGCGAAAGCGUGGGGAGCAAACAGG
rnacentral:rRNA from 1 species